UACGGGGGGGCAAGCGUUGUUCGGAAUUACUGGGCGUAAAGGGCUCGUAGGCGGCCAACUAAGUCGGAUGUGAAAUCCCCAGGCUUAACCUGGGAACUGCAUCCGAUACUGGAUGGCUUGAAUCCGGGAGAGGGAUGCGGAAUUCCAGGUGUAGCGGUGAAAUGCGUAGAUAUCUGGAGGAACACCGGUGGCGAAGGCGGCAUCCUGGACCGGCAUUGACGCUGAGGAGCGAAAGCCAGGGGAGCAAACGGG
rnacentral:rRNA from 1 species